GGACACCGGCCCUCGAGGCCUGGAGUUCGACACCUGUGUCAUAAAGUCUACGUAGUGAGCUACUGAGAAAGAUUGCAAACAAGGAGCAAAUCAAAUGACACUUUGUAAAGGCUUCUUUUUGCCUGCUCCUCCAACAGCGUGCUGACAUUUUAGCAUUAGUGGCUCUGUCAGAGUGUGAAAGAAUCAACCCUUACCGUCCCCCCAUAACACCCCAGGAUAGAACUCUGUCUGCGAGAUGCGCACAGGGGACAAACACAUCAGGGGUCUGCAAAAACCACCUCCCUGGAAAUAUCUCCUCAUGCUCCCUGCCAUAAACCUGCAUACAAGAGGUGGACACAUUGCACAUACUUCAUUGAAAGGAUUCCCUUGGGAGAAGCUUGCUUCUGAGUGUCAGAGGAAAAAGUCACUCUCUUUCAACACGUGAGUGGGCGGCAACAAAAGAAAAGCUACAGGCCGCUCUCAUCCCUGAGUGUGUCCCUGGUGAUCUAAAUGCGUCCCCGUUUUGG